rnacentral:sRNA from 1 species
CCGACAGCCGGUCCCCGGAGAUCUGGGGGGCCGGGGCGGGCUCAGGGAUGCCUCGCACCCGCGGAGAGACGGGCCCGCGACGUGGGAAGAGCAGGCUCCGGGCUCCAGCUCGGGCGCUGCUGAGUUCACCGCCCGGGCUGGGCUUUGCAGGCUGAGCCGCGAGCCACUUGUUUCUGGGGAAAAUUUACUCGCGCGACGAGUUGGAGCUUGAAGGCUCCCGCUGGGCUUGGGCUGCAUCGAGCGGGGUCCGGCGCUGCCUGGCGGCUUCACGCGAGCCCUGGGCGCGGCCCUUGCCGAGGUGCCGGUGCCUUCCUCUGCAGAGACCAGGAGGGAGCUUCGGGGCGUUGGGCGAUGUUGCCCAGAUCGGGCCCGGGACACCCAGACAGAUGAGAUUGUCGCGCUGAAGAAGGUGCGGAUGGACAAGGAGAAGGAUGGCAUCCCCAUCAGCAGCUUGCGGGAGAUCACGCUGCUGCUCCGCCUGCGUCAUCCAAACAUCGUGGAGCUGAAGGAGGUGGUUGUGGGGAACCACCUGGAGAGCAUCUUCCUGGUGAUGGGUUACUGUGAGCAGGACCUGGCCAGCCUCCUGGAGAAUAUGCCAACACCCUUCUCAGAGGCCCAGGUCAAGUGCAUCGUGCUGCAGGUGCUCCGGGGCCUCCAGUAUCUGCACAGGAACUUCAUUAUCCACAGGGACCUGAAGGUUUCCAACUUGCUCAUGACUGACAAGGGUUGUGUGAAGACAGGUGGGUGCAACUUGGGCCAGGCCCUGUCCCUAGAUGGCAGCUUGUCAGCCCUCACUUGGCAACACACGCUUCCCUUUCUGCUGCAGCGGAUUUCGGCCUGGCCCGGGCCUAUGGUGUCCCAGUAAAGCCAAUGACCCCCAAGGUGGUCACUCUCUGGUAAGUCCUUCUGAAGCAUGGUGGCCCC